rnacentral:rRNA from 1 species
UACGAAGGGGGCUAGCGUUGUUCGGAAUUACUGGGCGUAAAGGGCGCGCAGGCGGCCUAUCAAGUCAGAUGUGAAAGCCCCGGGCUCAACCUGGGAACUGCAUUUGAGACUGAUAGGCUUGAGUUCGGGAGAGGAGAGCGGAAUUCCCAGUGUAGAGGUGAAAUUCGUAGAUAUUGGGAAGAACACCGGUGGCGAAGGCGGCUCUCUGGACCGAUACUGACGCUGAGGAGCGAAAGCGUGGGGAGCGAACAGG